UACAUGCAGUCGAGCGAAUGGAUUAAGAGCUUGCUCUUAUGAAGUUAGCGGCGGACGGGUGAGUAACACGUGGGUAACCUGCCCAUAAGACUGGGAUAACUCCGGGAAACCGGGGCUAAUACCGGAUAACAUUUUGAACCGCAUGGUUCGAAAUUGAAAGGCGGCUUCGGCUGUCACUUAUGGAUGGACCCGCGUCGCAUUAGCUAGUUGGUGAGGUAACGGCUCACCAAGGCAACGAUGCGUAGCCGACCUGAGAGGGUGAUCGGCCACACUGGGACUGAGACACGGCCCAGACUCCUACGGGAGGCAGCAGUAGGGAAUCUUCCGCAAUGGACGAAAGUCUGACGGAGCAACGCCGCGUGAGUGAUGAAGGCUUUCGGGUCGUAAAACUCUGUUGUUAGGGAAGAACAAGUGCUAGUUGAAUAAGCUGGCACCUUGACGGUACCUAACCAGAAAGCCACGGCUAACUACGUGCCAGCAGCCGCGGUAAUACGUAGGUGGCAAGCGUUAUCCGGAAUUAUUGGGCGUAGAGCGCGCGCAGGUGGUUUCUUAAGUCUGAUGUGAAAGCCCACGGCUCAACCGUGGAGGGUCAUUGGAAACUGGGAGACUUGAGUGCAGAAGAGGAAAGUGGAAUUCCAUGUGUAGCGGUGAAAUGCGUAGAGAUAUGGAGGAACACCAGUGGCGAAGGCGACUUUCUGGUCUGUAACUGACACUGAGGCGCGAAAGCGUGGGGAGCAAACAGGAUUAG
rnacentral:rRNA from 1 species